rnacentral:rRNA from 1 species
UAGGGAAUCUUCCGCAAUGGACGAAAGUCUGACGGAGCAACGCCGCGUGAGCGAAGAAGGUCUUCGGAUCGUAAAGCUCUGUUGUCAGGGAAGAACAAGUACCGUUCGAACAGGGCGGUACCUUGACGGUACCUGACGAGGAAGCCACGGCUAACAACGUGCCAGCAGCCGCGGUAAUACGUAGGUGGCAAGCGUUGUCCGGAAUUAUUGGGCGUAAAGCGCGCGCAGGCGGUUCCUUAAGUCUGAUGUGAAAUCUCGCGGCUCAACCGCGAGCGGCCAUUGGAAACUGGGGAACUUGAGUGCAGGAGAGGGGAGCGGAAUUCCACGUGUAGCGGUGAAAUGCGUAGAGAUGUGGAGGAACACCAGUGGCGAAGGCGGCUCUCUGGCCUGUAACUGACGCUGAGGCGCGAAAGCGUGGGGAGCGAACAGG